ensembl:snRNA U6 U6 spliceosomal RNA
GUGCUCACUUCAGCAAUACAUAUACUAAAAUUAAAACAAUACAGAGAUUUGUGUGGCCCGUGUGCAAGGAUGACAUGCAAAUUCAUGAAGCAUUCCAUAUUUUU